GACGAACGCUGGCGGCGUGCUUAACACAUGCAAGUCGAACGGAAAGGCCCUGCUUGCAGGGUACUCGAGUGGCGAACGGGUGAGUAACACGUGGGUGAUCUGCCCUGCACUUCGGGAUAAGCCUGGGAAACUGGGUCUAAUACCGGAUAGGAGCCAUUUUUAGUGUGAUGGUUGGAAAGUUUUUUCGGUGUAGGAUGAGCUCGCGCCUAUCAGCUUGUUGGUGGGGUAAUGGCCUACCAAGGCGGCGACGGGUAGCCGGCCUGAGAGGGUGGACGGCCACAUUGGGACUGAGAUACGGCCCAGACUCCUACGGGAGGCAGCGGUGGGGAAUAUUGCACAAUGGGCGCAAGCCUGAUGCAGCGACGCCGCGUGGGGGAUGACGGCCUUCGGGUUGUAAACUCCUUUCGCUAGGGACGAAGCUUUUUGUGACGGUACCUAGAUAAGAAGCACCGGCUAACUACGUG
rnacentral:rRNA from 1 species